ensembl:snRNA U6 U6 spliceosomal RNA
GUUCCUCCUUCAGCAACACAUGCAUUAAAAUCAGAACAGUACAGGUGAUUAGCAUGGCCCCCAUGCAAGGAUGGCACAAAAAUUGGGUAAAUGUUCCACAAUUUU